rnacentral:rRNA from 1 species
GACGAACGCUGGCGGCGUGCUUAACACAUGCAAGUCGAACGGAGAGGCCCCUUUGGGGGUACUCGAGUGGCGAACGGGUGCGUAACACGUGAGUAACCUGCCCUUGACUUCGGGAUAACUUCAGGAAACUGGGGCUAAUACCGGAUAGGAAUCCUUGCUGCAUGGUGGGGGUUGGAAAGCUUCGGCGGUUUUGGAUGGACUCGCGGCUUAUCAGCUUGUUGGUGGGGUAGUGGCUUACCAAGGCUUUGACGGGUAGCCGGCCUGAGAGGGCGACCGGCCACAUUGGGACUGAGAUACGGCCCAGACUCCUACGGGAGGCAGCAGUGGGGAAUAUUGCACAAUGGGCGGAAGCCUGAUGCAGCAACGCCGCGUGCGGGAUGACGGCCUUCGGGUUGUAAACCGCUUUCAGCAGGGGCGAAGCUUGUGGUGACGGUACCUGCAGAAGAAGCACCGGCUAACUACGUG